CAGUUAGCUCAGUUGGUAGAGCAACUGACUCUUAAUCAGUGGGUCUAGGGUUCGAAUCCCU
rnacentral:tRNA from 2 species